GCGGAAGAUGAUAUAAUUUUUAACUCGUAACACCUGUCGGUGUGCUGAAGAUUAAAAAACGCAACAACAAACACUCUAAUUUUUUGCUGACG
rnacentral:snoRNA from 1 species